GACCAGACUCCUACGGGAGGCAGCAGUGGGGGAUAUUGCACAAUGGGGGAAACCCUGAUGCAGCGACGCCGCGUGUGGGAAGACGGUCCUCUGGAUUGUAAACCACUGUCCCCAGGGACGAAGAUGACGGUACCUGGGGAGGAAGCUCCGGCUAACUACGUGCCAGCAGCCGCGGUAAUACGUAGGGAGCGAGCGUUGUCCGGAAUCAUUGGGCGUAAAGAGUUCGUAGGCGGCAUGUAAAGCCAGGUGUUAAAGGCGCAGACUCAACCUGUGUAUGGCACUUGAUACUUGCAAGCUGGAAUGCGGUAGAGGUAAAGGGAAUUCCUGGUGUAGCGGUGAAAUGCUUAGAUAUCAGGAGGAACAUCGGUGGCGUAAGCGCUUUACUGGGCCGUAAUUGACGCUGAGGAACGAAAGCCAGGGUAGCAAAUGGGAUUAGAUACCCCGGUA
rnacentral:rRNA from 1 species